rnacentral:ncRNA from 2 species
UGACGCGCAGCGGGAGAACCUCCGUUUCGGAGGCGCCGUAGGAGCAACUUCCUCCCCGGGAAUCUCUCAGGCCCCAGUACCGCAGCGCAGAG